UUUAGCCUACUAUCCAAAAAUAUAUAUCCCACCUUCACCUAAGCCCCGUUAUAACCUGAAAAGUCAUCUAAAAGUGUAUGCAUAAUUAUUUUGUGAUUGCUGUAUAGAAUUUUUUCAAGCUUAUGGUAGGCGGAUGCAUGAUCUAGGAUUUGAGUGAUAUUCUUAACCCUUAAACACUUGAGAGAAUUUUGUGAGAUUGUGUGAAGAGAGAGAUAUGAGUUUGAUGGAUAAGUGUUGAAUGAAUUGCAUUGUGUUCCUGAUCGAUUGUUUGUGGAUGAAAGUGACAUUGAGUAUGAUGUUUUUGCUUGUUGACAUGUUUGCUAAUAUUGAUUAUGAAGAUAGAUUGACAGGAAAGUUUGGUCAUGUGUUUGAAGUUCAAUUGCACACUCACUUUUUGAAGCUUUGUUCCUUGAGGACAAGUAACAGAUUAAGUUUGGGGUUGUGAUGAUCUCUCGUCAAAUGUAGUUUUUAGAGUCUUUUUAAUUAAGUUUUAGUUUAUUUUUAUUA
rnacentral:lncRNA from 1 species